ensembl:lncRNA
UACAUAAAUGCAAAUUAGACAAGCACAUAAUAUGAACAACUACAGUGCAUCGGUUAGAAUAAACUUUUAGAGCAUACAGUGUGGAACUUUAUGUAAUUUUUUCAUUUAUAAUUUCUUUUACUGAAUUUCAAAAAUACAAAACAAUUCACUAUGUCCUCAAGACAUUUAAGAGUAAAUCCACGUAAGGAUGCAAUCAUAUAAAAAUAAAUAAAAGUAAAUGAAAAGUAAAAGGCAACGCAAUCAUUUUUACUAUUCAUUUAGCUGUGCUGAUGACAUCAGCUGGCGUCAUGCAGUUGAUUUCAGUUUCAUAUAGGAAGGGUUUUUCCUGGAAUCCUUUUUUGGAAAAUAGCUUACAUGCUUAUCUACUCACGCUAACUGUUUCAGAGAAAAACUUUUGCAGUGAUGAGUUUCAGAGGUCGAGAUGCUGGUUCAGAGAUGUAACAGAAAACCUUAACCUCAUUCAAGGUGUAAACAGCAGGGACUAGCAUUGUCUCUACACCACAGUUUUGGCUUCAGUACAUCACCAGAAUCUUAUACUUCUGUAUCAAUACUAAAUCAGUACAUUAGAUGACAAAUAACUCAUAAUAAAAGAUGAGUGAAUUAUUAGUACUCUCUACUG